UUCGUCUGUGUGAGGGUCGGCUAGUGUCAAAACAAUCGCGUCGCUUGCUCUUGCGACGCGCUCUGGACCUUCGCGGCCGUAAAAUCCGGCGCUCACCGAAUCGCUCGCUCGGCGGUUUGCGUGUUGCGCCCGGUGGCCCCGUGGUYUUAAGCACAAGCCGCGCCGUUGUCCGUGUUCGUCUCGGGACGUCCGCGACGCCGCCUUGCUCUCGGCGGCGGCCAAAUUUCCUCUCCGUCACCGCUAUGCGGGACCCGGCUCGCUCUCGCUAACGGGCCCGCUUAUAACCAGCUUCAGGGUGACGGGCGGAGGAGAGAAGCUUACGCUGACGCUCGAUCGACGAGUCGGCGCCCGUACGAAAAAAAUUGGAAAAAAAAUAACCGUGCGUUGCGCGUUAUUUUUUUUUUUCCUUUCUUUCCGACCUCAGAUCGGACGAGAUUACCCCCUGAAUUUAAGCAUAGAA
rnacentral:misc_RNA from 1 species